AUACUGUAGCAUGCCCGUUUGAGUUGAAUCAGAUAUUUAAUUACUUUUUGGUAACGGGGUGUUACAAAUA
rnacentral:pre_miRNA from 1 species